CUGAAAACCUUGGGCCGGGAAGAGCAUCCCAGGAGGGAAAGGAGUGGAGCACAGCAGCAAGGUCGCCCAUCUGCGCCGCCUCCCACGUCCCCUGCUCUGACGCCACCGGCCCAAGGUCCCCGCUCUUCACCAGAUCUGUUGAGUCACCAGAAUGAUAAAAGCAGCUGCGCUCGGGCCUGCAUCUUAGACACAACACAGCGCCCGAGGCCAGGAGACAGCGGGGACAGGACGGGGUGGCAUUAGGAUACGUCAGAGGGAGAAAAAUACAGGUCUGCUGCAGAAACAGCCGCCUUGGCAGGGACCGGCAACCAUGAGCUGUUUGCUGUUCGGAUCCCAGAUGCUGCUCAGAACAAGCCCACAGAGAGAGCUGGGAGUCACCGACAUCCUUGCUCCAAAUGGCAGCAGAUUCCGUGAGAGCCACCCAACGCCCGCGAGGACUCUGACAGUCGAAAGCCACCGGGAACAGGUUGGGCCGCCUUGGGAUCACCUUGAGCAGGGCCAGCCCAGGCCUGGGAAUGGGCCGGAGACAUGUGUGUCACUGUUUGCUCAGCCUGGGUUGGAGCUGCGCCUUCCUUCCAGGGAUUUUCCAGGGCCCUGGGCUAUGACCCCGACCUGUCCUAUAGACCUCUUAGAGGUGCCUCAGAGGAGGGUGACGGCACAUGCACGCCUGAGAGUGCCACACUCAGGAGGCUGAGCCAGGAGGAUCGCUGCUAGCUCUAGGCCAGCCUGGGCAACACAGCGA